rnacentral:rRNA from 1 species
UACGUAGGGACCAAGCGUUGUUCGGAUUUACUGGGCGUAAAGGGCGCGUAGGCGGCCUGUUAAGUCGAACGUGAAAUCCCCGGGCUCAACCCGGGAACUGCGUCCGAUACUGGCAGGCUUGAAUCCGGGAGAGGGAUGCGGAAUUCCAGGUGUAGCGGUGAAAUGCGUAGAUAUCUGGAGGAACACCGGUGGCGAAGGCGGCAUCCUGGACCGGUAUUGACGCUGAGGCGCGAAAGCCAGGGGAGCAAACGGG